UGGAGCCACUGAGAUUACAGGCAUGCACCACCGUGUCCAGCUAAGACCUAAUAUUUCUUGAGCAUCAAUGCUGGCUAGGUGAUGUGGAGUGCCAACCAUCUGCAGCCCAGUUCUUGUGCCCAAAGAAGUGAAAUCUUGGGGGAGAGUGUUUGAUACUGUUGUGGUCCAAAUUGACAUUCCUAUGUACCAAGCCUAAAAGUUUUGCAGAGAUGGUUACUCCAGGAGAUCAUCAUAGCUUGGCUUUCUCAUUGCCUCUGGCAUCAUCAAAACCUGUUUUUCCUUUUGAAGAACACAGUGACAACUGUUGGUAGAUACCAUGCCCCAUGAUCGAGGAAAUACAAGGAAGUGUUUUUAAGUUAUGUUGUGUGUUCCUGUUGAGUUUACAUCCUGAUUGGGAGAUGAAAGGUACUGGGAGUUGUUAAGGAUCACUCAGAAAUGUCGUGAUUACCAAUGAACAAAGGUAGUGUCAAUGUCAUAAGUCUAGGAAUCGGGUUUGAGAAGCCUUCAUGGAGGACUGGUAGAUUUUCAUUUAGGAAGGGUAGGAUUAUGAACGGUCUAUGGUAUUAGGCUCUGAAAACAUUUUAGCAGGAGGAAUGUUGGAAGCAUUAGAUUUCCCAUACACAAAUGAAGAGGCUCAACCAGUCAGUGGAGAUGGGAAUGGGCUGUAUUAGAAAAGGAGGCUUGAGAGCACUUGAGCUAGAUGGAAGAGAGAAAUGUCUUGGAGGUUUCUGGUCUGUGUGACCCAGAGGAGAGAUCAGAGAGUGCUGGUUUAGGAAUUAUGUAGAAUGGAGGAGUUAUAGAUAAUGGCUCCAUGGUAGAGUGCUUGCCUAGCAUGCAUGAGGCCCUGAGUUUGAUCCCCAGUACCAAAAAAAGAAUUAUACAGAAUGAAUGCCAAAGAUGUCCAACUUCCGCGCUGUUUUCACAGCUGUGGGAAUGCUCAAGUAGCCAGACUGUUUCCAACUGGGGCCAUCUUCUGGCACUCUCCAGUAUGACAUUGAUCAAGAUGACUCAAGGAAAGGCCCAAGUCCACAUGGCCAACAAAAAAGUCCCUCAUGGUGCUGCCUGAAAACUAGUAGUACUUAAGGAAGGGUGGUCUUCAUCAAUAGACUUGGCAAGUGGUCUUUGCAGCUAAAUCCAUCCUCACUUUCAUAAGCAUUUACUAAGCAUCAAUAGCAUGAUGCUAGACCUCAAGGUACUACAGGAGAAUUUUUAUACAAUGUCUGAGAAGAAUAAUCAAGGAAUCAUGAUUGGGUGAAAAUAAACUGAUAAAUAUUGGAGCAGGGACAGUCAAUGGGAAGGACAGGCUG
rnacentral:lncRNA from 1 species